GACGAACGCUGGCGGCGUGCUUAACACAUGCAAGUCGAACGCUGACGCACUGCUUUUGUGCGGUGGCUGAGUGGCGAACGGGUGCGUAACACGUGAGUAAACUGCCCUCUUCUUUGGGAUAACGUCCGGUAACGGGUGUUAAUACAGGAUAUUAUCCGGCCUUCGCGUGGGGGCUGGUGGAAUGGGGAUUUCUGGCGGGGGAUGGACCCGCUGCCUAUUGGGUUGUUUGUGGGGUGAUGGGCUACCAAGGCGUAGACGGGUAGACGGCAUGAGAGGGCGACCGGUCACAUUGAGACUGAGAUACGGCCCAGACUCCUACGCGAGGGAGCAGUGGGGAAUAUUGCACAAUGGGCGCAAGCCUGAUGCAGCGACGGCGCGUGAGGGCUGGGGGCCUUCGGGUUGUGAACCUCGGUCGCUCAUGGUCAAGCCGAAACAAUGGUUGUGGUGACGGUAGUGGGUAAAGAAGCGCCGGCUAACUACGUG
rnacentral:rRNA from 1 species